UUGUCUCAAAGAUUAAGCCAUGCAUGUCUCAGUACAAGCCGAAUUAAGGUGAAACCGCGAAAGGCUCAUUAAAUCAGUUAUGGUUCCUUAGAUCGUACCCACAUUUACUUGGAUAACUGUGGUAAUUCUAGAGCUAAUACAUGCAAACAGAGCUCCGACCGGAGACGGAAGGAGCGCUUUUAUUAGAUCAAAACCAAUCGGUGGCGGUUUCCGUCAUCGUACAACUUGGUGACUCUGAAUAACUUUACGCUGAUCGCACGGUCUCGCACCGGCGACGCAUCUUUCAAAUGUCUGCCUUAUCAACUGUCGAUGGUAGGUUCUGCGCCUACCAUGGUUGUAACGGGUAACGGGGAAUCAGGGUUCGAUUCCGGAGAGGGAGCCUGAGAAACGGCUACCACAUCCAAGGAAGGCAGCAGGCGCGCAAAUUACCCACUCCCGGCACGGGGAGGUAGUGACGAAAAAUAACGAUACGGGACUCAUCCGAGGCCCCGUAAUCGGAAUGAGUACACUCUAAACCCUUUAACGAGGAUCAAUUGGAGGGCAAGUCUGGUGCCAGCAGCCGCGGUAAUUCCAGCUCCAAUAGCGUAUAUUAAAGUUGUUGCGGUUAAAAAGCUCGUAGUCGAAUCUGUGUCCCGCGCCGCCGGUUCAUCGUUCGCGGUGUUAACUGGCGUGCCGCGGGACGUCCUGCCGGUGGGCUUAGCUCGUGAGGGCGGCCCAACUCAAUCCCGCCGCGGUGCUCUUCAUUGAGUGUCGAGGUGGGCCGGCACGUUUACUUUGAACAAAUUAGAGUGCUUAAAGCAGGCUAAAACUUCGCCUGAAUACUGUGUGCAUGGAAUAAUGGAAUAGGACCUCGGUUCUAUUUUGUUGGUUUUCGGAACCCCGAGGUAAUGAUUAAUAGGAACGGAUGGGGGCAUUCGUAUUGCGACGUUAGAGGUGAAAUUCUUGGAUCGUCGCAAGACGGACAGAAGCGAAAGCAUUUGCCAAAAACGCUUUCAUUGAUCAAGAACGAAAGUUAGAGGUUCGAAGGCGAUCAGAUACCGCCCUAGUUCUAACCAUAAACGAUGCCAGCUAGCGAUCCGCCGACGUUCCUCCGAUGACUCGGCGGGCAGCUUCCGGGAAACCAAAGCUUUUGGGUUCCGGGGGAAGUAUGGUUGCAAAGCUGAAACUUAAAGGAAUUGACGGAAGGGCACCACCAGGAGUGGAGCCUGCGGCUUAAUU
rnacentral:rRNA from 1 species